AAGCAGGACUCAGAACACAAUAAAGCUGUUAAAUGCUGUGUUGUAAUUCCCCCUGUUCAAAUCAAGCUGUUUCUUACCUAUACCUGUUGGCUCUGCCCCUGUAGUGGCCAGGGGUGCAUGUUCUCAUACAU